UCUCGUCUUCUCCAUCGUCUUCGUGCCGACCUCGAUCAUGUCCGCGCGCGUGUAAAACUGAAAACUAACCAGCUGGCGUUUCAGAGCUUCUCUGGUGCCGUUUGUACGUUUCUCUGUCUGUGUUUUUUGCAGAAAUGAUUGGAGUUGGAAGCAAUUAAAUCAUGGAGUAAAUCUCUGGAUGGAUGCAAGCUAUCAACUUGGAUUAUGAUGCCGCUCGGUUAAAUACUCAAAUGAUUCUCUUUUUUUCAAAAUUUAUGAACGAAGGAAGGCGUGCCUGCAAGGAAAGCAUUAACUGGAAAUUUUGAAUGACAUGUUCAAACAUAAUUUCCAAAGUUUGAGCUUUUUCUAGGUCUGAUGCGUGGUCUUUUGACCGGUCAAAGAGUAUUUUCUUAUUCCGUACCAUUUUUAUUAGGCAGUUUGUGUUCUUGCAACACAGGCUGAAAUUUCACCGAAAGGUCAUUAGGUACCCCUUUAAUACUGAAGUGAUGGUUAAAUUUGGAAAGCAACCAGAGCUUAUCAUUUGUAGAUCAAAUCAUCUCGGAUUUUCUUUCCUCUUUCUAAGCACCUACCCCUUCCCGGGAAAUUUUCCACUAAAUUCUCCCUAGACCGACUGACAUUAACGCGUCAAGCGAAAAGUAGAUGCAGACAAGUACGUGUGUGCUGUUAAUCACUAUUUGCGUAUGAUUAGCUGCACUAACCCAUAUUAUUAUUUGCAGAGCUAGUCAGCGGCGACCGAGACUGCAGCGAGGAGCAAGCAGCUAGCGCCAUGGCCGAC
rnacentral:lncRNA from 1 species